GGCCCCUUCGUCUAGUGGUUAGGACUCAGGACUUUCAUUCCUGCAACAGGGGUUCAAACCCCCUAGGGGUCACAA
rnacentral:tRNA from 1 species